GAUUUUUUUUCAGGUAUAAAAGUAAAUGCAGUGCCGCUACUGUAAAUUUUCUGCACAGCAGCAAGACGUGCUGCUCAAGCAUUACAGGCUUCAUCACUGGAAAGCCGGUAAAGGGCUUUAAAGUUGUUGCUGGAUCGACCUGACGUACUUGAGAAGACGUUUCCUAUCAAGGAGAGGACACCAGGAUAUUACACCUCACCAUUUGAUGGAAACAAUGUUGCUUCGAGUUAUUCUCUCACCUGACAACAUCAGGAAGCUAACUAUACCCACACCAUCGUCUACUGAUGAGCUCGCUGCCGUUCUUUGUGAAAAAUUGCAGAUUCAGAGAGGUUUCGUGAUCCAAUAUGAGGAUCCUGAUUUCAACAAUGAACUUUGUACUUUACAUGACAUCACAGAACUUCCAAAAGACAAGGCUACUUUGAAGCUCCACUGGGAACUAGUUUUAAGUUCAAUGGCAGAGGAUGGUCACCUAUCUGAUUUCACUCUGGAUACAGCAAGCAUGACAUCCACUCAGUCAUCAUCUUCAUCAUCCCAUUCAGAUUUUCCUCCUCCAGCCCGAUCUAGAUCAGAUCAAUGGCCAAGCAAGUUUCCAGUGCCUUUAUUUUCAUAUGAUGUAGAGUUAAGGCUGAAGAGAGCCAAUGAGGAUCUUCAAGAAAAUGGAACAACGCUGAUUGUUCCAAGAGACAUUAAAAUAAAUAUAUUAGAAAAAUUGGCUGAAACAGUGUACUCCUACAAAGCCUACCCCAGUGACUCUGAAAUAGAGAAGGUUGCAUCUGCUUUAGUAGAAAAACACCCUUGUCUCAAAGAUCCAGGGUCUGAAAUGGGAUGGGGGGCAUGGAAAAUUAGCUUAAAGUUUAAAAUGGCAAAUUAUCGACAAAAACUCCGCAAUGCUGGAUGCACCGAGAUGGUUGUAAAUACUCAUUUAAGACAAGGUUCAUCUAGAGGAUCUCUGAAGAGGCCCAGAAGAUCUGAACUUAACUUUCUCCCUGAUCAUCCUGUUGGUUUAAAUGAAGAAGAAUUGGAGAAAGCAAGGGCAUUGAUGGAGGAAGAAGUCAAAAAGAA